GAUGAACGCUGGCGGCGUGCCUAAUACAUGCAAGUCGAGCGAACGGACGAGAAGCUUGCUUUUCUGAUGUUAGCGGCGGACGGGUGAGUAACACGUGGAUAACCUACCUAUAAGACUGGGAUAACUUCGGGAAACCGGAGCUAAUACCGGAUAAUAUUUUGAACCGCAUGGUUCAAAAGUGAAAGACGGUCUUGCUGUCACUUAUAGAUGGAUCCGCGCUGCAUUAGCUAGUUGGUAAGGUAACGGCUUACCAAGGCAACGAUGCAUAGCCGACCUGAGAGGGUGAUCGGCCACACUGGAACUGAGACACGGUCCAGACUCCUACGGGAGGCAGCAGUAGGGAAUCUUCCGCAAUGGGCGAAAGCCUGACGGAGCAACGCCGCGUGAGUGAUGAAGGUCUUCGGAUCGUAAAACUCUGUUAUUAGGGAAGAACAUAUGUGUAAGUAACUGUGCACAUCUUGACGGUACCUAAUCAGAAAGCCACGGCUAACUACGUGCCAGCAGCCGCGGUAAUACGUAGGUGGCAAGCGUUAUCCGGAAUUAUUGGGCGUAAAGCGCGCGUAGGCGGUUUUUUAGUCUGAUGUGAAAGCCCACGGCGUCAACCGUGGAGGGUCAUUGGAAACUGGAAAACUUGAGUGCAGAAGAGGAAAGUGGAAUUCCAUGUGUAGCGGUGAAAUGCGCAGAGAUAUGGAGGAACACCAGUGGCGAAGGCGACUUUCUGGUCUGUAACUGACGCUGAUGUGCGAAAGCGUGGGGAUCAAACAGGAUUAGAUACCCUGGUAGUCCACGCCGUAAACGAUGAGUGCUAAGUGUUAGGGGGUUUCCGCCCCUUAGUGCUGCAGCUAACGCAUUAAGCACUCCGCCUGGGGAGUACGACCGCAAGGUUGAAACUCAAAGGAAUUGACGGGGACCCGCACAAGCGGUGGAGCAUGUGGUUUAAUUCGAAGCAACGCGGAAGAACCUUACCAAAUCUUGACAUCCUUUGACAACUCUAGAGAUAGAGCCUUCCCCUUCGGGGGACAAAGUGACAGGUGGUGCAUGGUUGUCGUCAGCUCGUGUCGUGAGAUGUUGGGUUAAGUCCCGCAACGAGCGCAACCCUUAAGCUUAGUUGCCAUCAUUAAGUUGGGCACUCUAAGUUGACUGCCGGUGACAAACCGGAGGAAGGUGGGGAUGACGUCAAAUCAUCAUGCCCCUUAUGAUUUGGGCUACACACGUGCUACAAUGGACAAUACAAAGGGCAGCGAAACCGCGAGGUCAAGCAAAUCCCAUAAAGUUGUUCUCAGUUCGGAUUGUAGUCUGCAACUCGACUACAUGAAGCUGGAAUCGCUAGUAAUCGUAGAUCAGCAUGCUACGGUGAAUACGUUCCCGGGUCU
rnacentral:rRNA from 1 species